rnacentral:lncRNA from 1 species
AAAGUUCAAGAAAAGAAAGUGAAGCUUUCUCAAGGGCAAAAGGACAGACAGAGGAAGAAGAGGAAGAAGGCGAGAGAGUAGCUGGAGAAGAUUUUGUCCUCGGGUUGGCAAUUGGGGUGUAGGAAUCGGCAUCUUUCUUGAGAAAUUCACAGUUCUGAUUGUUUAUGCCAAGUGGAUGAUAACGAGAGCUGGAGGAGAGCCAGGCCACAAUCUUGGAAUGAGUUCUAAAGAGCUAGGUUAAUUGAUCCUGAGAAGCUUGUGAUUUAAAGAAGUCAGGUUUUCGUUUCCUAGAUACUCUGUGGACAAAGACUCAACAUUUGAGGGGGAGUGUAUGUUGGUGAUGAGUUUGUUGAAGAUGAAAGAGAAGAGAUAGAGAUUGAGGAUGCUUACAUCGUCAAAUACUUCAAAGAGAAGCCAAGAGACUGAUAAAGACUGAAGAUGCGAAGACUCGACACUGAAGACUCCGUCAA